rnacentral:rRNA from 1 species
UCCUGAGUGUUCCCGCUUGACUCGGAAUCACUGGGCGUAAAGGAUGCGUAGGCUGGAAAUCAAGUCGAGAGUGAAAUCCAACGGCUCAACCGUUGAACUGCUCUCGAAACUGGUUACCUAGAAUAUGGGAGAGGUAGAUGGAAUUAGUGGUGUAGGGGUAAAAUCCGUAGAUAUCACUAGGAAUACCGAUUGCGAAGGCGAUCUACUGGAACAUUAUUGACGCGGAGGCAUGAAAGCGUGGGGAGCAAACAGGAGGAGAUAACCCGGUAGUCC